UCAUUCCACAACCGCCUCCUCUGCUAGACUCUCUUUUUCUCCAAGCCUGUAACACAGAGCUCCAGUGGCCAUUCUUAGAGCCUGGAUUACUUCUGUGUAGAAAGUUCUAGGAGGAGGAACAGUGAAGAAGCAUCUGGAAGCCACGGGAGGGGAGAGAUGGCUUCAUCUUCUGCCUUUCCCAGAAGUCCAACUCUUUGUCCAUCCCAGGAAAGGAUUCCCUCGAUCCCCUAGGACCACCACCGGCCCUAUUACAAAAUUUCUCUCAAAGGCAGUAGACUAAUUAAUGGUCACCCUCUUUUAGGAGGGCACACCUGUCAUGGUGACUCAUGUGUGGAAAUCAGAGGACGGUUUUAGGAGCUGGUUCAUUUCUUCCACCGUGUUGUUGCCAGAGAUCCGACUCAAGUCCAGGCUCAGCAGUGAAUGCAUUUCCCUGCGAACUCUCUCAUCAGCCCUGUGCUUUCUCAACUUUUUCUAAUAAAAAGAUACG
rnacentral:sRNA from 1 species